AGAAUUGAAAAAAUGGCAAAGAUGCUCAAAAUUUUUGCAAGAGAAAAAUUACAAGUUGGGGGAAUUUGACUCUACCAUUGAUAUUUUGGUCUUCAAUAUCAAAAAGAAACAGGGGCCAUCUACACUCCAAAUUAGGGAGUUUUCAAUUUUAUCAUUGACAUUGGGAUAUCAGUAUUGGUAAAAAAAAAAAAAAAAAAAA
rnacentral:lncRNA from 1 species